rnacentral:rRNA from 1 species
UACGUAGGGACCAAGCGUUGUUCGGAUUUACUGGGCGUAAAGGGCGCGUAGGCGGCGUGACAAGUCACUUGUGAAAUCUCCGGGCUUAACUCGGAACGGUCAAGUGAUACUGUCGUGCUAGAGUGCAGAAGGGGCAAUCGGGAAUUCUUGGUGUAGCGGUGAAAUGCGUAGAUAUCAAAGAGGAACACCUGAGGUGAAGACGGGUUGCUGGGCUGACACUGACGCUGGAGGCGCGAAAGCUAGGGGAGCAAACGGG